GGGUGCGAUCAUACCAGCAUUAAUGCAUCGGAUCUCAUUAGAACUUUGCAGUAAAGUGCAUUUGGGCUAGAGUAGUACCAGGAUGGGUGACCUCCCAGGAAUUCCUAGUGUUUCACCCU
rnacentral:rRNA from 1 species